rnacentral:lncRNA from 1 species
UCACAGAAUACUUUAUUUCUUUUGUUGUAGUUCAACUCCAGAAGCACCAUGUGGGGACAAGGUGUUCCCAUUCCACCUCGGGAGUAGAGGCCAGGGGAAGGAAAGGCAGUAGGGCCAAAGCUAUCACUGUAGGAAGCUCAUGAGAUAGGGACCCAUCUGCCCAGCUCUCCUGAAUCCUGGAGCCUCGCCAGAGCUCCCUCUUGCAUCUGCAAUUCCACCUGCCUGGAAUGCCCAUCUCUAUAGGUCUUCUCUGUCUUGCAAGGCCCAAUUUAGGGCUUCCUACUUCUCCCCUUCCUCUCUCACUUCCUGUUCCAGCCCAUACUGAACUGCAACAGCUUAAUCCUGACCCCUUGCUGGCCUCAAGUUUGGGUCCUGGGCUGUCUGUGUCCUGUGGCCAAGCAGCCGCCUGCUUCUUUGCUCAGUAAUGCUAUGAUGUAGUCUCCCAAUUCCCAGCCUGCUCUGGACUCAGCUGUUGUGCCUAGGUCUUGCAGCUCCCUCAUGGCUGACCACUGCCUCACCAUCAGAAAGCCCCAAGAGUUUCGCUCUUUGUUGCCCAGGCUGGAGUGCAAUGGCACAAAUCUUGGCUCACC